rnacentral:rRNA from 1 species
UCGGGAAUUUUGGGCAAUGGGCGAAAGCCUGACCCAGCAACGCCGCGUGAGGGAUGAAGUAUUUCGGUAUGUAAACCUCGAAAGAAUGGGAAGAAUAAAUGACGGUACCAUUUAUAAGCUCCGGCUAACUACGUGCCAGCAGCCGCGGUAAUACGUAGGGAGCAAGCGUUGUUCGGAUUUACUGGGCGUAAAGGGCGCGUAGGCGGCGCGGUAAGUCACUUGUGAAAUCUCUGAGCUUAACUCAGAACGGCCAAGUGAUACUGCUGUGCUAGAGUGCGGAAGAGGCAACCGGAAUUCUUGGUGUAGCGGUGAAAUGCGUAGAUAUCAAGAGGAACACCUGAGGCGAAGGCGGGUUACUGGGCCGACACUGACGCUGAUGCGCGAAAGCCAGGGGAGCAAACG